UACAAGUAAUGGCCGAAACUGAGAUCUACAAUAUUUACUCUCCUUAUCAGCCUCCACAGGUCUGCUAGUGUAUUCCUCAUCACUUCAAACUUCACAACCGCUUCAGUAUAGAAUCUUCCUACAAAACAUGGAUCAUACGACUCUUGUUGUUCAGGGACAAGUUCAGUUAAGUCCCAGCUUCAAUCCUCCUCCUCUAUGAUCGACAACGACGCCAUGCCAUCCACCAUAUCCAUCGGUCACCCUUUACGUGCCAAUUGAUAGACUAUUUAGAGAAACAACCAUAACUUAUCUGUGGUGCAAAAAGAUCU
rnacentral:lncRNA from 1 species